rnacentral:rRNA from 1 species
UGGGGAAUUUUGGACAAUGGGCGAAAGCCUGAUCCAGCAAUGCCGCGUGUGUGAAGAAGGCCUUCGGGUUGUAAAGCACUUUUGUCCGGAAAGAAAUCCUUGGCUCUAAUACAGUCGGGGGAUGACGGUACCGGAAGAAUAAGCACCGGCUAACUACGUGCCAGCAGCCGCGGUAAUACGUAGGGUGCAAGCGUUAAUCGGAAUUACUGGGCGUAAAGCGUGCGCAGGCGGUUUGCUAAGACCGAUGUGAAAUCCCCGGGCUCAACCUGGGAACUGCAUUGGUGACUGGCAGGCUAGAGUAUGGCAGAGGGGGGUAGAAUUCCACGUGUAGCAGUGAAAUGCGUAGAGAUGUGGAGGAAUACCGAUGGCGAAGGCAGCCCCCUGGGCCAAUACUGACGCUCAUGCACGAAAGCGUGGGGAGCAAAACAGGAUUAGAUACCCUGGUAGUCCACGCCCUAAAACGAUGUCAACUAGUUGUUGGGGAUUCAUUUCCUUAGUAACGUAGCUAACGCGUGAAGUUGACCGCCUGGGGAGUACGGUCGCAAAGAUUAAAACUCAAAUGAAUUGACGGGGUCAUAGCUG